rnacentral:lncRNA from 1 species
GGUGGUACCGGAAGACGGUCUCCAAGGCGCGGAACUACUCAGUGGUGAAGGCUGUGCGGACACUGGGGGCCCGCCAGGGGUUUGGCCCCUUACUCAACCCAACCACGGUCCUCUCCGGCGCAGGCCGAUUUGAGGACCUAGACUCCUUGAUGCUGACGGCCUGAGGGGGCUCCCGGGUGCCGGAUAUCUGACACAGGCCAGGGAGGCUCCCCUGGGAGACCUGGCAGGCCUGGAGGUGUGAGUCGGCUCUGAGCAGCUGCUCUGGGAGAGCCAGUCCACGGAGCCAAAGCUGGAGGGCAGCUGCCGGCCACAAGUUGGGGAGGAGGAGAGACGCAAGGCCGUCAGAUGCUUGUCCUGGAAACCAACCAUGAGCUGUGAUGAAAUCCAGGCAACUGAGUUGUGUUUCAGCCCAAAGCAGCAAAUGGAAUCCAGCUUCAGGACCAUCAUCUGACAUAGGGGAAGAAGACUUACAUAGAAGGCCUAACCAGCACCCAAGAUCAUGGCUGGUGUCAGAGAAGGCUGAAUUGGGUACCAAGACAUUCCUUCUCUCCAGGUGGUAACAAGGACCCUCACAUGGUAUUAAUGAAGACCAAAUGUUUGAAUUUCUGCUUGACUUCUUCAAUUGUGAAAUCUGGAUCUAUGCAGGCUAGCCCUGUUUACUGCUGCUUACUCUAGGAAAUAGAAAUUGUCAGUGAACUUGGAACCAUUGUUUACCUGUAAAGUUUGUGUUGGUUUUCAAAUAUCAGUCCUGAAAUAAUAGUCUCUUUUCCUCCAUUCAUGUUUCUCAGAAAGACUUUAUUCAUUACCACAUAGUUCACAUGAACCCUACAGGCUUGAUAAUUUCUUAUCUUUCUAAUGUCCAGAUAGCAAUACACAAGAUGUACUCAUCAUCUUAGAGACAAACAUGGUGGAAUAGAGAAAGGAAAAAAAAUAUAUGUAGUAAAAACUG